UACGUAGGGACCAAGCGUUGUUCGGAUUUACUGGGCGUAAAGGGCGCGUAGGCGGCGCGGUAAGUCACUUGUGAAAUCUCUGAGCUUAACUCAGAACGGCCAAGUGAUACUGCAGUGCUAGAGUGUGGAAGGGGCAAUCGGAAUUCUUGGUGUAGCGGUGAAAUGCGUAGAUAUCAAGAGGAACACCUGAAGUGAAGACGGGUUGCUGGGCCAACACUGACGCUGAUGCGCGAAAGCCAGGGGAGCAAACGGG
rnacentral:rRNA from 1 species